UUUCCGUAGGUGAACCUGCGGAAGGAUCAUUACAAUUUUGGCACACCAAGAUGCCCUCGGGCGUUGCGGUGUUGUCAAUCGAGAUACCAACCCAUGUCUUUUGAGCACCUCUUGUUUCCUCGGCGGGUUCGCCCGCCAGAGGACCUACCUAAAACCCUUUGCAAUACCUGCAGUACUGUCUGAUAGCGAAAGCAAUUUAAAUCAAAACUUUCAACAACGGAUCUCUUGGUUCUGGCAUCGAUGAAGAACGCAGC
rnacentral:misc_RNA from 1 species